rnacentral:lncRNA from 1 species
GUGGCAAGACUGCUAGCAAGCAGCACCCUUUCUGCAGAAAGUAAACUAGCCUUGCUGAGAGAUCCUUUGUCUCAGUGUUGAUUUUUGCAACACUAAGCACCCGUUCCCAACAAUUUGGUGGCCCGUAGGGGAUUAACAUUCCCCUCUGGGACAGUCUUUGGUCCUCUCUCAUGGGGAGGUGCCCCACUGCCCAUUGUAGCAGCCCCUGGAGGACAGCCAGGACCUACCCGGAGCAAGGAAUAUAGUUGGAUUCUCAGCAACGCAGGGAAAGAGAGAGGCUUGCAGGACCACAGUGACCAGGUGACUCCAUGCACGGGCCAAGAUGUCUGUAGCAUGCGGCUUGUCACAUCUGCAAGGGAGCUGCCUGGAUUUGCCGGGGCCUGUUUUCUGAAAAAUGGACCACUUAAAAAGUACUUCUUACAGGGGGAGAAAAAAACAAAAAUGGUGAAACCAAAAAAAGUCCAGGACAACACAGAUUCACAGUCAAAUACUACCAGACGUACAAAGAGGAACUGGUACCAUUCCUUCUGAAACUAUUCCAAACAAUAGAAAAUAGAAUCCUCCCUAACUCAUUUUAUGAGCAUCAUCCUGAUACAAAAACCUGGCAGAGACAAAACAAAAAAA